AAUCCCAAAUCACUCCCCCACCCGAGCUACUUUCAGAUUCAUCCCAGAUCCCUAGCCGCCGCCGGCCGGCCGCACCCCAGAUCCUUCGUCGCCGGUCCGCUGCGCCCCAGAUCCUUCACUGCCUGUUGGUCUCCAGAUCCUUGGCCGCCGGUAGGUCCCCAGAUCCUUGGUCGCCGGUAGGUCCCCAGAUCGUUUGCCGCCGUUUGAGCCCCAGAUCCUUCGCCGCCGUUUGCGCCUUCUCCAACCUCUCGCCCCCAUCCGCCAUUUUUGAUGGGUUGUCGACCAGGAACGACCGACUCAGGAUUUUUGCCAUCAACCUCCUUGCUGCCCGAGGAGCAUCGCGUCAACGUACACGCCUCUGCCGUCACUCGACCGACACUGCAUCUUUCUCCGAUGGCCACCGAUUUCCAUCCAGGUACCGGCCCUUCCUGAUCCAGUUGCUGUUUUUUGUACCCCUUUAUGAUCUAUUUCCUUUUCCUGAAAACUUUCAUAUGUGCCUCCAUUUGGAUUCACCAGAAACUAACGAGCAUUUUCUCCUCCCUCAUUUGCUGGGUACUGGUGGAAGCAAAUGGCUGUACUGAAACACUGGUUUUGAAUAGGCCAGUGUAGUUGAUGCCUCUCCUCUGCAGCCGUAUGUCUUCAAGGGAUUGUACUAGUACUACAGGCACAACUCCCUUUAUAAAGGUUGUGUUAGAUAAUUUGAUUUUAUCUUCCAAGUUACAGGACUCAAAAAAUCACUUCUUAAGAGGAAGAAAACAGAGUUGAACUGGUCAUUGUCAAGUUCAUCUUGAUUAGGAGAAAAUGCAAGAUUCGUGAUCUACAAGAGAUGCUAGAGCCUUUGCUCUAAUCAAGGUUACAAGGAAGAUUACCAGUACAACAAGGAGGCUGCAACAACAAGUUCAGGUUAUCAAUCAAGGCAAGAAAUUCUACAUAUUCUUCUGAACAAACAGUUCAAUUAUGUCCACUGCAGGGUAACCUUGAAGAGAAGCUUGCAACAAAAUAUUAUAGAAAAUGAGGUCUCACAUUGCGAAUAUUUAGUUGAUGCACUUGUGUUGUUAAAUGUUGCACCUCUAUUUUUGUUGACUAUUCAUGUAUGUAAAUUCUAUGGAAUUAUAUCUCAAGAGAUGUGAAUAUGUAACUCUAUGGUUGGUGUAAGAUAUUGCUGUUUCUAUGUUGUAAAUAUUCUCAGUACUGGAA